rnacentral:snoRNA from 12 species
UUUUUAUGAUGAUAUAAAAAUUUUUGGGUAAUUUACGUCUGAAAAUUUUGAUGAACAAAAAUGUAUAUCUGAAAAAA